UACGGAGGGUGCAAGCGUUAUCCGGAUUCACUGGGUUUAAAGGGCGCGUAGGCGGCCUUCUAAGUCGAACGUGAAAUCCCUGGGCUCAACCCAGGAACUGCGUCCGAUACUGGAAGGCUUGAAUCCGGGAGAGGGAUGCGGAAUUCCAGGUGUAGCGGUGAAAUGCGUAGAUAUCUGGAGGAACACCGGUGGCGAAGGCGGCAUCCUGGACCGGUAUUGACGCUGAGGCGCGAAAGCCAGGGGAGCAAACGGG
rnacentral:rRNA from 1 species